rnacentral:lncRNA from 1 species
UGCUGUCCAGAACAACUAUAAAACUGGAGAAAGACUCAGCUGUUAAACACUACACUGGAAAUGAAGUUUUGAAGUGGGUGCACGUUGACCAGGAGAAAGUGUGCAUUAACUUGAGGGGAAAGGGUCCAGUGAAUUCCAAGAACAGCAGGAGGAGUCUAAAAAGAAGUCGUGUCCUGCUGACGUAUUAAGAAUUUACAGAUGCACUGGGAUGGUGGCUGUAGGGAAGUCGUGAAGUAGACCACAUUGGUUCAUGGGACUGUCUACUGCCCUGAGGACAAGUGCCCAAUAAAGGCUACUGACAGGCUGACUGCAGCUGGAGAGGGUCACCAAGAUGACUCAGAGGGCACUCUACAGAGUCCUACUGCCCGCACAGGGUCAUUUUGCUGCAGAGUUCAAGAAGACACAGCUGUUGGAUCUGAUGACUGCCUUCACACAGCAGGGACUGUCACUUCAGGUAUCAACCAGACUAUGGAAAAGCUUAAUGAAAUAAUGCACAAAAGACUCAUAAGCAUCAGUGAAAUCUCUCAAGUAACCAAGCACCUUAUUUAUGAAAGAGCUCAGAUACUAUUACUUCUUAAGCCUUCGUCUGGAGGAAUCCAUCAAUGUCCUUUUUCAAACUCUAAAAACACUCUCCAAAGAAGAAAGCUUUCCUAG